rnacentral:rRNA from 1 species
AGUCGAGCGCGCCUUUCGGGGUGAGCGGCGGACGGGUUAGUAACGCGUGGGAACGUGCCCUUCUCUACGGAAUAGUCCCGGGAAACUGGGGGUAAUACCGUAUACGCCCUUUGGGGGAAAGAUUUAUCGGAGAAGGAUCGGCCCGCGUUAGAUUAGGUAGUUGGUGGGGUAAUGGCCUACCAAGCCUACGAUCUAUAGCUGGUUUUAGAGGAUGAUCAGCAACACUGGGACUGAGACACGGCCCAGACUCCUACGGGAGGCAGCAGUGGGGAAUCUUGGACAAUGGGGGCAACCCUGAUCCAGCCAUGCCGCGUGAGUGAAGAAGGCCCUAGGGUCGUAAAGCUCUUUCGCCUGUGAAGAUAAUGACGGUAGCAGGUAAAGAAACCCCGGCUAACUCCGUGCCAGCAGCCCGCGGG